rnacentral:lncRNA from 1 species
GGAUCUUGAGACUUGCCUUGACCAUGGAGGGAUCUGAAGGAAUUGUGGGAACCCCAGGAGAAAGAGGUCGAACAGGGAAAAAGGGUGAUAAAGGACAAACAGGACCCGUGGGAGAAGCUGGAAGCAGAGGUUCCCCUGGACGCGUUGGGGACAGUGGCCCUAAGGGUGCCAGAGGAACUCGAGGUGCUGUGGGUCCAUUAGGAUUGAUGGGACCUGAAGGUGAACCAGGAAUCCCAGGAUACAGAGGCCUUGAAGGUCAGCCAGGACCCUCUGGAUUGCCAGGACCUAAAGGAGAAAAGGGCUACCCAGGAGAAGACAGCACAGUCCUGGGACCUCCUGGGCCUCGAGGUGAACCAGUAUGUCUUUUCUAAAAUUAUUUUGGUUCCUAAGAUGAAACUCAGUCAGAAGCUUUGAUGCUGGCCAUGUCUUUUCUGAGUGUCUAUUUGGUUAGUCUUGUGACUAGGCUUUAUAGUAAAUCAACACUUAUCUCCAUACUUUCCACAUGAUGUAAAAAUCUUAGAUAUG